rnacentral:rRNA from 1 species
UACGUAGGGGGCAAGCGUUGUCCGGAAUUAUUGGGCGUAAAGAGCGUGUAGGCGGUCCGGAAGUCGGCUGUGAAAGUCCAGGGCUCAACCCUGGGAUGCCGGUCGAUACUGCCGGACUAGAGUUCGGAAGAGGCGAGUGGAAUUCCCGGUGUAGCGGUGAAAUGCGCAGAUAUCGGGAGGAACACCAGUGGCGAAGGCGACUUCCUGGCCUGUUCUUGACGCUGAGGCGCGAAAGCUAGGGUAGCAAACGGG